UUUCAGCAAUGGAUCUCUUGGCUCUCGCAUCGAUGAAGAACGCAGCGAAUCGCGAUAUGUAAUGUGAAUUGCAGAUCUACAGUGAAUCAUCGAAUCUUUGAACGCACCUUGCGCUCCUCGGUGUUCCGAGGAGCAUGCCUGUUCGAGCGUCAGUAAAUUCUCAACCCCUCUCGAUUAGCUUCGAGCCGGGGCUUGGAUCCU
rnacentral:rRNA from 1 species